CUGCUAUUGGGAUCCGACUAAGCCAUGCAAGCCCAGGCUCCGCAAGGAACCGGCAGAAGGCUCAGUAACACGUCGCUAACCUGCCCUAAGGUCCAGGAUAACCUCGGGAAACUGAGGAUAAUACUGGAUGGGGAAAAGAUACUGGAAUGUUCUCUUCCUUAAAGCUUCAGCGCCUUAGGAUGGGGCGGCGGCCGAUUAGGUUGUUGGCGGUGUAAUGGACCACCAAGCCUAUGAUCGGUACGGGCCAUGAGAGUGGUAGCCCGGAGAAGGGUACUGAGAUACGGACCCUAGCCCUACGGGGUGCAGCAGGCGCGAAACCUCUGCAAUGCACGAAAGUGUGACAGGGGGAUCCCAAGUGCUCAUACACUGUAUGGGCUUUUGUCAAGGGUAAGUACCUUGACGAAUAAGCGGUGGGUAAGACUGGUGCCAGCCGCCGCGGUAACACCAGCGCCGCAAGUGGGGACCGCUAUUAUUGGGCCUAAAGCAUCCGUAGCCGGUCAAAUAAAUCUUCUGUGAAAUCGUUCAGCUUAACUGAACGGCGUGCAGAAGACACUGUUUGGCUAGGGACCGGGAGGCGUAAGAGGUAUUCGUAGGGUAGCGGUAAAAUGCGAUAAUCCUACGAAGACCACCUGUGGCGAAGGCGUCUUACGAGAACGGCUCCGACGGUGAGGGAUGAAGGCCAGGGGAGCGAAUGGGAUUAGAUACCCCAGUAGUCCUGGCAGUAAACCCUGCGAGCUAGGUGUCGCGCAUCCUCCGAGGGUGUGCGGUGUCGUAGAGAAGUCGUUAAGCUCGCCGCCUGGGAAGUACGGUCGCAAGGCUGAAACUUAAAGGAAUUGGCGGGGGAGCACUACAAGGGGUGCGGCGUGCGGUUUAAUUGGAUUCAACGCCGAAAAUCUCACCAGGGGAGACGGCAGAAUGAAGGUCAGUCUAAAGGGCUUACCUGACGAGCCGAGAGGUGGUGCAUGGCCGUCGUCAGCUCGUGCCGUGAGGUGUCCUGUUAAGUCAGGCAACGAGCGAGACCUGUGCCUACACUUGCCAGCGGGCAGCUUGCUGUGACCGGGCACUGUGUAGGGACUGCCUGGGAAACCAGGAGGAAGGUACAGGCAACGGUAGGUCUGUAUGCCCCGAAUCCACUGGGCUACACGCGCGCAACAAUGGACGAGACAAUGGGCUGCAACACCGAAAGGUGAAGCUAAUCCUCGAAACUCGUCCUCAGUACGGAUUGAGGCUUGUAACUCAGCCUCAUGACGCCGGAAUCCCUAGUAAUCGGAGUUCAUCAUACUCCGGUGAACAUGUCCCUGUUCCUUGUUCACACCGCCCGUCAAACCACUCGAGCAGGGUCUGGAUGAGGCUUGUCUUUUUUGGGCAAGUCGAAUCCAGGCUCAGUGAG
rnacentral:rRNA from 1 species